rnacentral:rRNA from 1 species
UGGGGAAUAUUGCACAAUGGGGGGAACCCUGAUGCAGCCAUGCCGCGUGAAUGAAGAAGGCCUUCGGGUUGUAAAGUUCUUUCGGUAUUGAGGAAGGGAUGUAUGUUAAUAGCAUACAUUAUUGACGUUAAAUACAGAAGAAGCACCGGCUAACUCCGUGCCAGCAGCCGCGGUAAUACGGAGGGUGCGAGCGUUAAUCGGAAUAACUGGGCGUAAAGGGCACGCAGGCGGUUAUUUAAGUGAGGUGUGAAAGCCCCGGGCUUAACCUGGGAAUAGCAUUUCAGACUGGGUAACUAGAGUACUUUAGGGAGGGGUAGAAUUCCACGUGUAGCGGUGAAAUGCGUAGAGAUGUGGAGGAAUACCGAAGGCGAAGGCAGCCCCUUGGGAAUGUACUGACGCUCAUGUGCGAAAGCGUGGGGAGCAAACAGGAUUAGAUACCCUGGUAGUCCACGCUGUAAACGCUGUCGAUUUGGGGAUUGGGCUUAAAGCUUGGUGCCCGUAGCUAACGUGAUAAAUCGACCGCCUGGGGAGUACGGCCGCAAGGUUA